UACGGAGGGUGCAAGCGUUAUCCGGAAUCACUGGGUUUAAAGGGUGCGUAGGCGGCUUAGUAAGUCAGUGGUGAAAGACUGUGGCUUAACCAUGGAAUUGCCAUUGAUACUGCUGAGCUUGAAUCAGGUUGAGGUUGGCGGAAUGUGACAUGUAGCGGUGAAAUGCUUAGAUAUGUCAUGGAACACCGAUUGCGAAGGCAGCUGACUGGACCUGUAUUGACGCUGAGGCACGAAAGCGUGGGGAGCGAAC
rnacentral:rRNA from 1 species